rnacentral:rRNA from 1 species
UUAUUUGAAACGGGACACAACCCCCAAUACUGGGUUAAUCAAGAUAAAUAAUAAACAAAGUGGGCCUAAAAGCAGCCAUCUUCUGAAAAGCGUUAAAGCUUGACAUAUUAACAUCUACAAUUCCUUAAUUUUUACUUAACCCUUUAUCACUACUGAACUAUUUUAUACUCCUAUUAAAGUUAUUAUGCUAGAACUAGUAACAAGAAAUUGCCUUUUCUCCUAAAUGUAUGUUUGAACCAAAAUGGACUCCCCACUGGUGACUAACGCAAAUGAAAAUAUCAUAGUACCACAAGGCUAGAAAACCCUAUGAUUGUCUAACGUCAACCUUACACUAGAACAUUACAGGAAAGAUUAAAAGAGAAAGAAGGAACUCGGCAAAUCACAGUCCCGCCUGUUUACCAAAAACAUCGCCUCUUGCCCAAAUAUAAGAGGUCCAGCCUGCCCAGUGACAUAGUUUAACGGCCGCGGUACCCUAACCGUGCGAAGGUAGCAUAAUCACUUGUUCUUUAAAUAGGGACUCGUAUCAACGGCAUCACGAGGGCUGUACUGUCUCCUUUCUCCAAUCAGUGAAACUGAUCUCCCCGUGAAGAAGCGGGGAUAAACCUAUAAGACGAGAAGACCCCAUGGAGCUUUAAACCCAUCACGCACCCCCUACGCACCCAAAUCAACGUAGCCCAAGAGGCUUGUGUGCUGGUUUUAGGUUGGGGGGACCGCGGAGUAAAAUUUAACCUCCACGACAGACAGGUUAACACCCUUAUCCAUGAACCACAAUUCUAAGAGUCAACAAUUUGUUGUCUAAUGACCCAAUUAUUUGAUCAACGAACCAAGUUACCCUGGGGAUAACAGCGCAAUCUACUUCAAGAGCCCCUAUCGACAAGUAGGUUUACGACCUCGAUGUUGGAUCAGGGUAUCCUAGUGGUGCAGCCGCUACUAAAGGUUCGUUUGUUCAACGAUUAAAACCCU